UACGAAGGGGGCUAGCGUUGUUCGGAAUUACUGGGCGUAAAGCGCACGUAGGCGGGUCGUUAAAUCAGGGGUGAAAUCCCGGAGCUCAACUCCGGAACUGCCUUUGAUACUGGCGAUCUUGAGAUCGGAAGAGGUGAGUGGAAUUCCCAGUGUAGAGGUGAAAUUCGUAGAUAUUGGGAAGAACACCAGUGGCGAAGGCGGCUCACUGGUCCGAUACUGACGCUGAGGUGCGAAAGCGUGGGGAGCAAACAGG
rnacentral:rRNA from 1 species